GGGUUGUGAGGUUAAGCGACUAAGCGUACACGGUGGAUGCCCUGGCAGUCAGAGGCGAUGAAGGACGUGCUAAUCUGCGAAAAGCGUCGGUAAGGUGAUAUGAACCGUUACAGCCGGCGAUGUCCGAAUGGGGAAACCCAGUGUGAUUCGUCACACUAUCGUUAACUGAAUACAUAGGUUAACGAGGCGAACCGGGGGAACUGAAACAUCUAAGUACCCCGAGGAAAAGAAAUCAACCGAGAUUCCCCCAGUAGCGGCGAGCGAACGGGGAGCAGCCCAGAGUCUGAAUCAGCUUGUGUGUUAGUGGAACGGUCUGGAAAGUCCGACGGUACAGGGUGAUAGUCCCGUACACCAAAAUGCACAGGCUGUGAACUCGAAGAGUAGGGCGGGACACGUGGUAUCCUGUCUGAAUAUGGGGGGACCAUCCUCCAAGGCUAAAUACUCCUGACUGACCGAUAGUGAACCAGUACCGUGAGGGAAAGGCGAAAAGAACCCCGGCGAGGGGAGUGAAAAAGAACCUGAAACCGUGUACGUACAAGCAGUGGGAGCACCUUCGGGUGUGACUGCGUACCUUUUGUAUAAUGGGUCAGCGACUUAUAUUCUGUAGCAAGGUUAACCGUAUAGGGGAGCCGCAGGGAAACCGAGUCUUAACUGGGCGUUAAGUUGCAGGGUAUAGACCCGAAACCCGGUGAUCUAGCCAUGGGCAGGUUGAAGGUUGGGUAACACUAACUGGAGGACCGAACCGACUAAUGUUGAAAAAUUAGCGGAUGACUUGUGGCUGGGGGUGAAAGGCCAAUCAAACCGGGAGAUAGCUGGUUCUCCCCGAAAGCUAUUUAGGUAGCGCCUCGUGAAUUCAUCUUCGGGGGUAGAGCACUGUUUCGGCUAGGGGGUCAUCCCGACUUACCAACCCGAUGCAAACUACGAAUACCGAAGAAUGUUAUCACGGGAGACACACGGCGGGUGCUAACGUCCGUCGUGAAGAGGGAAACAACCCAGACCGCCAGCUAAGGUCCCAAAGUCAUGGUUAAGUGGGAAACGAUGUGGGAAGGCACAGACAGCCAGGAUGUUGGCUUAGAAGCAGCCAUCAUUUAAAGAAAGCGUAAUAGCUCACUGGUCGAGUCGGCCUGCGCGGAAGAUGUAACGGGGCUAAACCAUGCACCGAAGCUGCGGCAGCGACACUAUGUGUUGUUGGGUAGGGGAGCGUUCUGUAAGCCUGCGAAGGUGACCUGUGAGGGUUGCUGGAGGUAUCAGAAGUGCGAAUGCUGACAUAAGUAACGAUAAAGCGGGUGAAAAGCCCGCUCGCCGGAAGACCAAGGGUUCCUGUCCAACGUUAAUCGGGGCAGGGUGAGUCGACCCCUAAGGCGAGGCCGAAAGGCGUAGUCGAUGGGAAACAGGUUAAUAUUCCUGUACUUGGUGUUACUGCGAAGGGGGGACGGAGAAGGCUAUGUUAGCCGGGCGACGGUUGUCCCGGUUUAAGCAUGUAGGCUGGUUAUCCAGGCAAAUCCGGAUAAUCAAGGCUGAGGUGUGAUGACGAGGCACUACGGUGCUGAAGUAACAAAUGCCCUGCUUCCAGGAAAAGCCUCUAAGCAUCAGGUAACAUCAAAUCGUACCCCAAACCGACACAGGUGGUCAGGUAGAGAAUACCAAGGCGCUUGAGAGAACUCGGGUGAAGGAACUAGGCAAAAUGGUGCCGUAACUUCGGGAGAAGGCACGCUGGUGUGUAGGUGAAGUCCCUGCGGAUGGAGCUGAGACCAGUCGAAGAUACCAGCUGGCUGCAACUGUUUAUUAAAAACACAGCACUGUGCAAACACGAAAGUGGACGUAUACGGUGUGACGCCUGCCCGGUGCCGGAAGGUUAAUUGAUGGGGUUAUCCGUAAGGAGAAGCUCUUGAUCGAAGCCCCGGUAAACGGCGGCCGUAACUAUAACGGUCCUAAGGUAGCGAAAUUCCUUGUCGGGUAAGUUCCGACCUGCACGAAUGGCGUAAUGAUGGCCAGGCUGUCUCCACCCGAGACUCAGUGAAAUUGAACUCGCUGUGAAGAUGCAGUGUACCCGCGGCAAGACGGAAAGACCCCGUGAACCUUUACUAUAGCUUGACACUGAACAUUGAGCCUUGAUGUGUAGGAUAGGUGGGAGGCUUUGAAGCGUGGACGCCAGUCUGCGUGGAGCCAACCUUGAAAUACCACCCUUUAAUGUUUGAUGUUCUAACGUUGGCCCCUGACCGGGGUUGCGGACAGUGUCUGGUGGGUAGUUUGACUGGGGCGGUCUCCUCCCAAAGCGUAACGGAGGAGCACGAAGGUUAGCUAAUCCUGGUCGGACAUCAGGAGGUUAGUGCAAUGGCAUAAGCUAGCUUGACUGCGAGCGUGACGGCGCGAGCAGGUGCGAAAGCAGGUCAUAGUGAUCCGGUGGUUCUGAAUGGAAGGGCCAUCGCUCAACGGAUAAAAGGUACUCCGGGGAUAACAGGCUGAUACCGCCCAAGAGUUCAUAUCGACGGCGGUGUUUGGCACCUCGAUGUCGGCUCAUCACAUCCUGGGGCUGAAGUAGGUCCCAAGGGUAUGGCUGUUCGCCAUUUAAAGUGGUACGCGAGCUGGGUUUAGAACGUCGUGAGACAGUUCGGUCCCUAUCUGCCGUGGGCGCUGGAGAAUUGAGGGGGGCUGCUCCUAGUACGAGAGGACCGGAGUGGACGCAUCACUGGUGUUCGGGUUGUCAUGCCAAUGGCACUGCCCGGUAGCUAAAUGCGGAAGAGAUAAGUGCUGAAAGCAUCUAAGCACGAAACUUGCCCCGAGAUGAGUUCUCCCUGAGACUUUAAGUCUCCUGAAGGAACGUUGAAGACGACGACGUUGAUAGGCCGGGUGUGUAAGCGCAGCGAUGCGUUGAGCUAACCGGUACUAAUGAACCGUGAGGCUUAACCUUACAACGCCGAAG
rnacentral:rRNA from 1 species